rnacentral:rRNA from 2 species
UCUCGGCUCUCGCAUCGAUGAAGAACGUAGCGAAAUGCGAUACUUGGUGUGAAUUGCAGAAUCCCGUGAACCAUCGAGUCUUUGAACGCAAGUUGCGCCCGAAACCACUCGGUUGAGGGCACGUCUGCCUGGGCGUCACGCAU